GGGUACAAGAUCUCUUCAGAGGACCACCACCACCACCUACGAUGGAGGGUAUGAGACCUCUUCAGAGGACCACCACCAGCCCUUACGAUGCAGGAUAUGAGACCUCUUCAGAGGACCACCACCAGCUCCUACGAUGGAGGCAGGCUUAUGGGAACAAGGAGCGUGCUAGCCAAGUACUGGUGGAAGAGAAGAUCCGGAGAAGAAGUGGUGGUGGAUAGGCCACACCCUCCGAACGCCCCCUUUCCAACAUCACCAGGCAAGCUGUAUCCUGGAACCCACAAGGGAAAAGUGCAGACUGAAUUAACACCUGGAGGUGGGAGAUGAAGGAAGAUACAAGGAAAACCAGCAUGAGGUGGAACCACAGGAGGUUGGUGGCACCUUAAUUGGGGAGGACGGGCUCUUGGUAAUGCCUGGAGCGGAAUAAGUGAAAUGGUAUCAAAUACAUCAAACACAUGGUUUGAUGUCAUUCCAUGCAGCCAUUAUUAUAGGCUGUUCUCCCCUCAGCAGCCUCCACUGUACUGUGGAAUGAGAAGAAGAAUACUGCCUAGAACAGUGUGAUGGAGAGCAGCCUCCACUGUACUGUGGAAUGAGAAGAAUACUGCCCAGAACAGUGUGAUGGAGAGCAGCCUCCACUGUACUGUGGAAUGAGAAGAAGAAUACUGCCCAGAACAGGGAGAUGGAGAGCAGCCUCCACUGUACUGUGGAAUGAGAAGAAUACUGCCCAGAACAGUGUGAUGGAGAGCAGCCUCCACUGUACUGUGGAAUGAGAAGAAGAAUACUGCCCAGAACAGGGAGAUGGAGAGCAGCCUCCACUGUACUGUGGAAUGAGAAGAAGAAUAUACUGCCCAGGACAGUGUGAUGGAGAGCAGCCUCCACUGUACUGUGGAAUGAGAAGAAGAAUACUGCCCAGAACAGUGAGAUGGAGAGCAGCCUCCACUGUACUGUGGAAUGAGAAGAAGAAUAUACUGCCCAGAACAGGGAGAUGGAGAGCAGCCUCCACUGUACUGUGGAAUGAGAAGAAGAAUAUACUGCCCAGGACAGUGUGAUGGAGAGCAGCCUCCACUGUACUGUGGAAUGAGAAGAAUACUGCCCAGAACAGGGAGAUGGAGAGCAGCCUCCACUGUACUGUGGAAUGAGAAGAAAAGUACUGCCCAGGACAGUGAGAUGGAGAGCAGCCUCCACUGUACUGUGGAAUGAGAAGAAGAAUACUGCCCAGGACAGUGAGAUGGAGAGCAGCCUCCACUGUACUGUGGAAUGAGAAGAAGAAUACUGCCCAGAACAGUGAGAUGGAGAGCAGCCUCCACUGUACUGUGGAAUGAGAAAAAAAGUACUGCCCAGAACAGUGAGAUGGAAAGCAGCCUCCACUGUACUGUGGAAUGAGAAGAAGAAUACUGCCCAGAACAGGGAGAUGGAGAGCAGCCUCCACUGUACUGUGGAAUGAGAAGAAUACUGCCCAGGACAGGGAGAUGGAGAGCAGCCUCCACUGUACUGUGGAAUGAGAAGAAAAGUACUGCCCAGAACAGGGAGAUGGAGAGCAGCCUCCACUGUACUGUGGAAUGAGAAGAAAAGUACUGCCCAGAACAGUGAGAUGGAGAGCAGUUGUCAGUGGUCUGUUCCCAAAAGAGCAAUGGGCCUAAGC
rnacentral:lncRNA from 1 species